UAAUACCAGCUCUCCGAGUGGUGGGGAUGCUUAUUGGGCCUAAAGCAUUCGUAGCCUGCUUGGCAAGUCCUCCGUUAAAUCCAACGAUUCAAUCGUUGGGCUGCGGGGGAUACUGUCCGGCUAGGGGGCGGGAGAGGCCGACGGUAUCCUCGGGGUAGGGGUGAAAUCCUAUAAUCCCGGGAGGACCACCAGUGGCGAAGGCUGUCGGCUAGAACGCGCUCGACGGUGAGGGAUGAAAGCUGGGGGAGCGAACCGGAUUAGAUACCCGGGUAGUCCCAGCUGUAAACGAUGCAGGCUAGGUGUCGGCGUGGCUACGAGCCACUCCGGUGCCGCAGGGAAGCUCAUAAGCCCGCCGCCUGGGAAGUACGGUCGCAAGGCUG
rnacentral:rRNA from 1 species